UACGUAGGGUGCAAGCGUUAAUCGGAAUUACUGGGCGUAAAGCGUGCGCAGGCGGCUUUGCAAGACAGAUGUGAAAUCCCCGGGCUUAACCUGGGAACUGCAUUUGUGACUGCAAGGCUGGAGUGCGGCAGAGGGGGAUGGAAUUCCGCGUGUAGCAGUGAAAUGCGUAGAUAUCGAGAGGAACACCUGCGGCGAAGGCGGGUUGCUGGGCCGACACUGACGCUGAUGCGCGAAAGCCAGGGGAGCGAACGGG
rnacentral:rRNA from 1 species